CUAGAUCCUAGCCACACUCUUUCCGAAGCAGUCCCCGUAUCCCCCUCGCGCCAUUUCCGAAUCAUUUCGCCGAAUCUCGGCGUGUCCACCACAUUAACGCCAUGCAUCCACCGGAUCCGACCAUCGGCUUCUACGGCAAUGCGCGCUGAUGCGACCAUAACGGCCUCACGCUCCAAGGAUUCUCACCAGGAUGGUACGACCUGCGUCCUCCGAGGCUAGGGCACGGGUCCAUGUUAAGGACGCACGGCUUUUGUGGCGUCUGCCUGACGUCCCGAAAUGCCUGCGCGGGCCGGGCGCACGGGAGGUGUUCGACAGAUUGGCCAAACGGGACAGCAUGUUCCGCAUGCCGCAAAUUCCCCCCUGGUCUGCGUCGAUGACGGUCAGAUGGGACCCUGUGGUUUGGGUGUCAGUCAUGGAUAACUGAGGGCUGCGACCCGUGUUCAGUGCGAUGCCUGACAAACAUCUACUUGCGUUUCAGGAGGCUGUUGGCGUAAUGCUUGGCACAGGCUGGCAUUUCGGGAGCGACUGUGAGGGAAAACUCACCAUGUUUGGAAGCGAUGCUGCCAGGAUGACACUGCAGUUCCAUCUCUGCCGUAAAUAAGGUCACUGGUGUGAACCCACCUGCAGAAACUCCCUCCCACACCCUUGGAGCAGAAUGGCUGCAACUGCCACAUAAGGCCAUGAAGCACCGUGCGGUAUCAUAGAGACCAAUGAAGAAGCUCGAUAGCUUGGAAUAAGCAAAUUGCACUGCUUCACUAUCUGUUAACUGUGGCAUGAAUCCAUCAAUUAGUUUUGUUUAGAGGUUUAUCCCAUUAUCUCUCCCAGGCUUGUAUGCAACCGAACAAGCAUUUGUCAGUUGUGGACUGGAAGUAGUGAAUUUUCACACGCCAGGUUUCAGCUGACCAUGCUGCAGUUUAUUUACAUCCAGGAGGCUGUUGGCGUAAAGCUUGGCAUAGGCUGGCAUUUGAGACAGAACGCAUCUGGGGACUGACUUGGUUUGUGUUUAACGAACUGCCCGGAUGGACUGCACAUGUGGUUCUCCGUGAAGUGCCUCUUGGAGGCUAUAUGCUUUAUGGAGUCUUGUGCAAGAUCAAUCAUUCUGGAUCUGCAGAUCGUAAUCCCAUGGCUUGCUGGUCUAUCCUAUGGUGGAUUGUGCACAGCUGCAUUUCAGUAGAAUACCCGAGGUACAUGUUGCGACGCCUGGUACUUGUCUGGCCUUAGAGGGUUCUCAAGUCAUUCUGUCCAUCAUGGUUCAUCAUGCUGCUUGAACAUGUUAUAUUUAUUGUGACGUUGGGUUUUCUUAAAUAUUUACCAAGAAAAUUCCAACGAAACAUAGUUGAAGGUCCUCAUUAUUUGAAAUGGCAAGGGACAAAACUGGAGCACAAAAUAAUGCAACAUGCGUGUGGUUGAAAUUUCUAUUGUCGUAGCAAAGGAUGAGCUGGUCUUUGGCCCAUUAGAACUUCCAGUUCUGUUAUGCUACAAUGCAACUUGUAUUCAUCAGGAUACAUAAAAUGAAUUCUGUGCUUGCAUAUUUGUGCUACUUAAAUAAGAUGUCAAACCCGGUAUAUAUGGCUUCUAGAAAUAAGUGGUUAAAAAGAUACAUUUUCUGUGAGGAAAACAAAUAAUAUGUGUGGCAAAUAUUAGUGUGUGGACCCAAAUUAGUAAACAUCACCCACACCCAUGUUGGAGUUUGAAAUGUAGGAACAUUUAUCAUCUGUCUGCCUAGCGAGCUUCAAUUGUUCAUACCAACCGCUGUAUGGUAUUCCAUAAUUACAUAAGGAGACUAAGCUAGUUCUUUUUAUAAUGAUUUAGUUGCAUUGCCUGAGGACAGUGCACCAUAUCAUGAUUCUGAUGGAUGAAAUAUAUUUUAGAGGAGGCUGUUGGUCUAAGGCUUGGCAUAAGCUGGCAUUUGAGAUGGAACGCAUCUGGGGAAUGACUUGAUUUGUGUUUAAUGAACUGCCACAGAUGGACUGCACAUGUGGUUCUCGGUGAAGAGCCUUUUGGUGGCUACAGUUUAUGGAGUCUUGUGCAAGAUCAAUCAUUCUGGAAGGCAUACCCAUGGCAUGCUGAUCUAUCUCACCACGGAACAUGCAUGUUUGUGUUUCAGUAGAAUAUCUGAGGUACAUACUGUUAGAGUUAUAAUAUAAGUCAUGUACCCCUUUGUAUUUAUCUCGUUGUAUAAGGGGUUUCCUGCAUAUGUUCCACACCUGUACAUGUAUAUAUAUCGGCCUAUGGCCUC